rnacentral:rRNA from 1 species
UACGAAGGGGGCAAGCGUUGUUCGGAAUUACUGGGCGUAAAGCGCGCGUAGGCGGCCCUGCAAGUCGGGGGUGAAAGCCCGAGGCUCAACCUCGGAACUGCCUUCGAUACUGCGGGUCUCGAGUCCGGGAGAGGUGAGUGGAAUUCCUAGUGUAGAGGUGAAAUUCGUAGAUAUUAGGAAGAACACCAGUGGCGAAGGCGGCUCACUGGCCCGGUACUGACGCUGAGGCGCGAAAGCGUGGGGAGCAAACAGG